rnacentral:misc_RNA from 1 species
GAUGAAGAACGUAGUGAAAUGCGAUAAGUAAUGUGAAUUGCAGAAUUCAGUGAAUCAUCGAAUCUUUGAACGCACAUUGCGCCCAUUAGUAUUCUAUUGGGCAUGCCUGUUCGAGCGUCAUUUUGACCACUUAAGCCUGGCUUAGUGUUGGGAAUCUACGUCUGUAGUUCCUUAAAUCUAGUGGCGGAGCCGCAGUGGCCUCUGAGCGUAGUAAUUUUUUCUCGCUUCUGAAAGUACUGUAGUUUUUGCCAUUAAACCCCCAAUUUUUUAAGGUUGACCUCGGAUCAGGUAGGAAUACCCGCUGAACUUAAGCAUAUCAAUAAGCGGGGA